rnacentral:rRNA from 1 species
GAACGCGAAGAACCUUACCCGGGCUUGAAUUGCAGAGGAAGGAUUUAGAGAUAAUGACGCCCUCCGGGGUCUCUGUGAAGGUGCUGCAUGGUUGUCGUCAGCUCGUGCCGUGAGGUGUCGGCUUAAGUGCCAUAACGAGCGCAACCCCUCUCUUCAGUUGCCAUCAGGUUAAGCUGGGCACUCUGGAGACACUGCCACCGUAAGGUGUGAGGAAGGUGGGGAUGACGUCAAAUCAGCACGGCCCUUACGUCCGGGGCUACACACGUGUUACAAUGGCCGGUACAGAGGGAUGGUGUAAUGCAAAUUGCAUCAAAUCUUGAAAGCCGGUCCCAGUUCGGACUGGGGUCUGCAACCCGACCCCACGAAGCUGGAUUCGCUAGUAAUCGCGCAUCAGCCAUGGCGCGGUGAAUACGUUCCCGGGUCUUGUACACACC